GAUGAACGCUGGCGGCGUGCCUAACACAUGCAAGUCGAACGAAGCACCUUACCUGAUUCUUCGGAUGAAAGUUUGGUGACUGAGUGGCGGACGGGUGAGUAACGCGUGGGUAACCUGCCCUGUACAGGGGGAUAACAGCUGGAAACGGCUGCUAAUACCGCAUAAGCGCACGAGGAGACAUCUCCUUGUGUGAAAAACUCCGGUGGUACAGGAUGGGCCCGCGUCUGAUUAGCUGGUUGGCAGGGUAACGGCCUACCAAGGCAACGAUCAGUAGCCGGUCUGAGAGGAUGAACGGCCACAUUGGAACUGAGACACGGUCCAAACUCCUACGGGAGGCAGCAGUGGGGAAUAUUGCACAAUGGGGGAAACCCUGAUGCAGCAACGCCGCGUGAGUGAAGAAGUAUUUCGGUAUGUAAAGCUCUAUCAGCAGGGAAGAUAAUGACGGUACCUGACUAAGAAGCUCUGGCUAAAUACGUG
rnacentral:rRNA from 1 species